rnacentral:rRNA from 1 species
UACGAAGGGGGCUAGCGUUGCUCGGAAUCACUGGGCGUAAAGCGCACGUAGGCGGACUCUUAAGUCGGUGGUGAAAUCCUGGAGCUCAACUCCAGAACUGCCUUCGAUACUGAGAAGCUCGAGUCCGGGAGAGGUGAGUGGAACUGCGAGUGUAGAGGUGAAAUUCGUAGAUAUUCGCAAGAACACCAGUGGCGAAGGCGGCUCACUGGCCCGGUACUGACGCUGAGGUGCGAAAGCGUGGGGAGCAAACAGG